CAGUUGGUAGCUCGUCGGGCUCAUAACCCGAAGGUCAUCAGUUCGAGUCUGGUCCCCGCUA
rnacentral:tRNA from 1 species